UACAGAGGGUGCAAGCGUUAAUCGGAAUUACUGGGCGUAAAGCGUGCGUAGACGGUCAUGUAAGUCGGGUGUGAAAGCCCCGGGCUCAACCUGGGAAUUGCAUUCGAGGCUGCAUGGCUAGGGUGCGGAAGAGGGAAGCGGAAUUUCCGGUGUAGCGGUGAAAUGCGUAGAUAUCGGAAGGAACACCAGUGGCGAAGGCGGCUCUCUGGAACGCAACUGACGCUGAGACGCGAAAGCGUGGGGAGCAAACAGG
rnacentral:rRNA from 1 species